AUUGUUAGUGGCAGACGGGUGAGUAAUGCGUAGGAAUCUACCUAGUAGUACGGAAUAGCCAUUAGAAAUGGUGGGUAAUACUGUAUAAUCCCCGAGGGGGAAAGAUUUAUCGCUAUUAGAUGAGCCUACGUUAGAUUAGCUAGUUGGUGAGGUAAUGGCUUACCAAGGCUAUGAUCUAUAGCUGGUCUGAGAGGACGAUCAGCCACACUGGAACUGAGAUACGGUCCAGACUCCUACGGGAGGCAGCAGUGGGGAAUAUUGGACAAUGGGCGAAAGCCUGAUCCAGCUAUGCCGCGUGAGUGAAGAAGGCCUUCGGGUUGUAAAACUCUUUCA
rnacentral:rRNA from 1 species